rnacentral:rRNA from 1 species
CGGAGGGUGCAAGCGUUAUCCGGAUUCACUGGGUUUAAAGGGUGCGUAGGCGGAUUUUUAAGUCCGUGGUGAAAUCUCCGAGCUUAACUCGGAAACUGCCAUGGAUACUAUGAGUCUUGAAUGUUGUGGAGGUUUGCGGAAUAUGUCAUGUAGCGGUGAAAUGCUUAGAUAUGACAUAGAACACCGAUUGCGAAGGCAGCAGGCUACACAAAUAUUGACGCUGAGGCACGAAAGCGUGGGGAUCAAACAGGAUUAGAUACCCUGGUAGUCCACGCCCUAGACGAUGAUUACUCGACAUUUGCGAUACACAGCAAGUGUCUGAGCGAAAGCAUUAAGUAAUCCACCUGGGAAGUACGACCGCAAGGUUG